rnacentral:rRNA from 1 species
CGCGAAUCGCCCUUGGUGCACCAGGCGGGAAAACUUUACUGUGCUGGCCAAAACCAUGACGGGACCUCUAGUGACGGGAUACAAUCUUGUCUGUCCUGAUGCCUAAUAAGCAUUACUUAGCAAGGGCCGGGCAAGACCGGAGCCAUCCGCCGCGCUAACACCGGCCGCUCGAGUGGUAACCGCUAUUAUAGGAUCUAAACGGUCUGUACCCUGCCUGAUAAUUCUCUUGGGAAAUCAAACAUCUCAGCUGUUGCGCUUCCAGGGGAUACUGCUCGGCUCGACGCCGGAACAGGUGAGAGGCACUUCACGGGUAGGGGUGAAAUCUUGUAAUCCUUGAAGGACCACCACUGGCGAAGGCGUCUCACCAGAACCGUCCUGACCGCAAGGGACAAAAGCUAGGGGCACGAAACGGAUUAGAUACCCAGGUAGUCCUAGCCCUAAACGAUACUCACUAGAUGUCAGCCACAGUGCUACCGUGGUUGGUGCCGUACGGAAGCCGUGAAGCUAGCCACCUGGCAAGUACGAGCCGCAUGGCUGAAACUUAAAUGAAUUGACUGGGGAGCACAACGCCA